ACUUUUGGCCAUUUGAUGGUUUUGAAAAAGCUUACCUCACUUUUUUUUAGCUCUAUAUUUCUCUCAAAUUUUCCUUUUCUAAAAAUAGUUCCACCACUAUAUUCCAAGCCUUGAGAAUAGCUAGGAAAACCUCUUGGUUGUCCUCAUUGGACCUAUAGAAAGAUAUUUGAAAAGCUACAAAGAGUUGCAAUUAGGAUAUAAUUUGGUCAAAUUGGAAGAGAGAAUGGCUGAAAAUUAGCUUCAUACCCGCCUACGACAAAGAUUUCGACCCGGUUCGGUUUUCCUCCCUUUCGAUCCGGUUCGGUUUGGCGCAUCUGUGCGUGCAGGAAAUCUCAAAAUAAUGUGGCUUGCGCAUUUGUGUAACAUUCCUCAUUUUUCCCUACAAAACACACAUAAUUGUAUCAUUUUACUUUUAUUUACCUAAGUCUAUAAGUGUUCGAGUCCUUAUAAUUUUAACCAAAUGUGUAUAUUUUAUAAUUUUACACAUUUUCACUUGAUUAUAUGCA